GCCUUUCAGAGGGGGAGUAACAUUUGGAAACAAAUGCUAAUACCGCAUAAGAUUACAGUACCGCAUGAUACAGUGAUCAAAGGAGCAAUCCGCUGAAAGAUGGGCUCGCGUCCGAUUAGAUAGUUGGUGAGGUAACGGCUCACCAAGUCGACGAUCGGUAGCCGGACUGAGAGGUUGAACGGCCACAUUGGGACUGAGACACGGCCCAG
rnacentral:rRNA from 1 species